UUCCGGUUGAUCCUGCCGGACCUUACUGCUAUCGGGGUGGGACUAAGACAUGCGAGCCGAGCGUCUCUAGCUAUGUUGAGACGCGGCAGACGGCUCAGUAGCACGUGGCUAACCUACCCUCAGGACGAGUACAAACCCGGGAAACUGGGGCUAAUACUCGAUAGGUGAGUAUAUCUGGAAUGAUUUCUCACUCAAAGGGCUUUGGAUACAUGCUUCCAACGUCGCCUGGGGAUGGGGCCGCGUCCGAUCAGGUUGUUGGUGAGGUAACGGCUCACCAAGCCUAUAACCGGUACGGGCCAUGAGAGUGGUAGCCCGGAGAUGGGUACUGAGACAAGGACCCAGGCCCUACGGGGCGCAGCAGUCGCGAAAACUUCACAAUGUGGGAAACCGCGAUGAGGGGAUUCCAAGUGCUUGCGUUUUGCGUAAGCUGUUCUCCUGCCUAAAAAGCAGGGGGAGUAAGGGCUGGGUAAGACGGGUGCCAGCCGCCGCGGUAAUACCCGCAGCCCAAGUGGUGGUCGAUAUUAUUGAGCUUAAAGCGUCCGUAGCCUGUCUGGUAAAUUCUUGGGUAAAUCGUGCAGCUUAACUGUCCGAAUUCCGGGGAGACUGCCAGACUUGGGACCGGGAGAGGUUGGAGGUACUCCUGGGGUAGGGGUAAAAUCCCGUAAUCCUGGGAGGACCAUCAGUGGCGAAGGCGUCCAACUGGAACGGAUCCGACGGUCAGGGACGAAGCCCUGGGUCGCGAACUGGAUUAGAUACCCAGGUAGUCCAGGGUGUAAACGCUGCAGACUUGGUGUCGGAGGUCCUACGAGGGCGUCCGGUGCCGGAGAGAAAUUGUUAAGUCUGCCGCUUGGGGAGUACGUCCGCAAGGAUGAAACUUAAAGGAAUUGGCGGGAGAGCACCGCAACGGGAGGAGCGUGCGGUUCAAUUGGAUCAACGCCGGA
rnacentral:rRNA from 1 species